AUUGAACGCUGGCGGCAGGCCUAACACAUGCAAGUCGAGCGAGCGGCGGUCGGGUGAGUAAUGUCUGGGAAACUGCCUGCUGGAGUGGGAUACCUACUGGAAACGGUAGCUAAUACCGCAUACCAUCAGAUGUGCCCCGAUGGGAAUAGCUAGUAGGUGGGGUAACUGCUCACCUAGGCGACCAUCCCUAGCUGGUCUGAGAGGAUAACCAGCCAAGCGGGAACUGAGAAACGGUCAAGAAUACUACGGGAGGCAGCAGGUGGGAAGAUUGAACAAUGGGCGCAAGCCUGCAGCAGGCAUGCCGGGUGUGGGAAGAAGGCCUUAGGGUUGUAAAGCACUUUCAGCGGGGAGGCGUUCCCCGCAUAAGAAGCACCUGCUAACGCCGUGCCAGCAGCCGCGGUAAUAC
rnacentral:rRNA from 1 species